rnacentral:rRNA from 1 species
UACGUAGGGUGCGAGCGUUGUCCGGAAUUACUGGGCGUAAAGAGCUCGUAGGUGGUUUGUCGCGUUGUUCGUGAAAACUCACAGCUCAACUGUGGGCGUGCGGGCGAUACGGGCAGACUUGAGUACUGCAGGGGAGACUGGAAUUCCUGGUGUAGCGGUGGAAUGCGCAGAUAUCAGGAGGAACACCGGUGGCGAAGGCGGGUCUCUGGGCAGUAACUGACGCUGAGGAGCGAAAGCGUGGGGGAGCGAACAGG